rnacentral:rRNA from 1 species
UAGGGAAUCUUCGGCAAUGGGGGCAACCCUGACCGAGCAACGCCGCGUUAGUGAAGAAGGUUUUCGGAUCGUAAAGCUCUGUUGUAAGAGAAGAACGUGUGUGAGAGUUGAAAGUUCACACAGUGACGGUAACUUACCAGAAAGGGACGGCUAACUACGUGCCAGCAGCCGCGGUAAUACGUAUGUCCCGAGCGUUGUCCGGAUUUAUUGGGCGUAAAGCGAGCGCAGGCGGUUUAAUAAGUCUGAAGUUAAAGGCAGUGGCUUAACCAUUGUUCGGUUUGGAAACUGUAAGACUUGAAUGCAGAAGGGGAGAGGGGAAUUCCAUGUGUAGCGGUGAAAUGCGUAGAUAUAUGGAGGGACACCGGUGGCGAAAGCGGCUCUCUGGGCUGUAACUGACGCUGAGGCUAGAAAGCGUGGGGAGCAAACAGG